CCAAGGCAACAGUCCUUUAUGCAGUUAAUGAUUCAGGACCUCUAGGUUUCAGGGCUUAUGACCAACUACAGGCAUCUGAGGUUAUUUGUUCAUCAAAUGUAGCAUACUGGAUUGAUAUCAGAGACGUCAGAAUGGAUUGCUGUGAGGUUACUGGCUCAAUACAUUCAACAUACUGGGCUGAUAAUAGCCCUGACACAGAGUUCCUGCUUCAAAUGGAACUUAGUCAGGAUGCUAGCUCAGUACCUCCUUAUUCCUAGGAUGAUGUCUUUGGCACAGCACCUGUGCCUUGCUAGGGAGAGUGACCCGGGUGGAUUUUGCCAUCGUUAUCAGUCCCUCUAUAUAAAGGCCAGAGCAGCCAACUCAACCCACAAGCAAAGGAAAUCCCACCAGACAGGUUGGCUGCCUCCUAGGGGAGGUGGUGCUCCAGCUGCGGAGAUCUUGAAAGCCAAAACCUUCUCCGGAAAUGGCAAGAUACAGACGCAGCAGGAGCAGGAGCAGGAGCCGUCGCAGAAGGCGGCGAAGGGGCGGUCGUGGGGGUCGACAUCGAAGGAGGAGAAGGAGAAGACAUGGCCGAAGGAGGAGAGGUCGUAGACGUAGAUCUCAUAGGAGAAGGAGGAGAAGGAGGAGACAUUAAUUUCCUGAUUUCUGCCAUUCUCCUUUGCAAGUCAUCAACCCACCACUCUGCAACUUCUGCUAUGGCAAAAAGAAACAGCCCUUCAAUUACAACACCCUGCGAUGACUUCCUAAGAUGCCAGGAGCCUGCUACCAUUUGAACAAUACCACCUGCCAAUAAACUUUGAAAUUUCA